rnacentral:rRNA from 1 species
GAAAAGAAACCAACAGGGAUUGCCCUAGUAACGGCGAGUGAAGCGGCAACAGCUCAAAUUUGAAAUCUGGCCCUCGGGUCCGAAUUGUAAUUUGUAGAGGAUGCUUUUGGUGAGGUACCUUCCGAGUUCCCUGGAACGGGACGCCAUAGAGGGUGAGAGCCCCGUCUGGUCGGAUACCGAUCCUCUGUAAAGCUCCUUCGACGAGUCGAGUAGUUUGGGAAUGCUGCUCUAAAUGGGAGGUAUAUGUCUUCUAAAGCUAAAUAUUGGCCAGAGACCGAUAGCGCACAAGUAGAGUGAUCGAAAGAUGAAAAGCACUUUGAAAAGAGAGUUAAAAAGUACGUGAAAUUGUUGAAAGGGAAGCGCUCAUGACCAGACUUGGGCUUGGUUGAUCAUCCAGGGUUCUCCCUGGUGCACUCUUCCAGCCCAGGCCAGCAUCAGUUCGCUGUGGGGGAUAAAGGCUUUGGGAAUGUGGCUCCUCCGGGAGUGUUAUAGCCCAUUGUGUAAUACCCUGUGGUGGACUGAGGUUCGCGCAUCUGCAAGGAUGCUGGCGUAAUGGUCAUCAGCGACC